GAUGAACGCUGGCGGCGUGCCUAAUACAUGCAAGUCGAACGGAGAUUGUAGCAAUACGGUCUUAGUGGCGAACGGGCGAGUAACGCGUUGAUGACCUGCCCCAAAGUGUGGGAUAACAGUUCGAAAGGAUUGCUAAUACCGCAUGUGGUCACUGGGAUUAGAUGCCCGGUGAUUAAAGGAGAAAUUCGCUUUGGGAGGGAUCUGCGUCCCAUCAGCUAGUUGGUAGGGUAACGGCCUACCAAGGCGACGACGGGUAGGGGACCUGAGAGGGUGGACCCCCGCACUGGCACUGAAACACGGGCCAGACACCUACGGGUGGCUG
rnacentral:rRNA from 1 species